rnacentral:rRNA from 1 species
GUCAUAUGCUUGUCUCAAAGAUUAAGCCAUGCAUGUCUAAGUACAUGCCGUAUUAAGGCGAAACCGCGAAUGGCUCAUUAAAUCAGUUAUGGUUCCUUGGAUCGUACCUUACUACUUGGAUAACUGUGGUAAUUCUAGAGCUAAUACAUGCAGCAGAGCUCCGACCUUCGGGAACGAGCGCUUUUAUUAGAACAAAACCGACCGGACUCUGUCCGUACUUUGUGGUGACUCUGAAUAACUUUGGGCUGAUCGCACGGGCCCGUCCCGGCGACGUAUCUUUCAAGUGUCUGCCUUAUCAACUUUCGAUGGUAGGUUACGCGCCUACCAUGGUCGUAACGGGUAACGGGGAAUCAGGGUUCGAUUCCGGAGAGGGAGCCUGAGAAACGGCUACCACAUCCAAGGAAGGCAGCAGGCGCGCAAAUUACCCACUCCCAGAACGGGGAGGUAGUGACGAAAAAUAACAAUACGGGACUCUUUUGAGACCCCGUAAUUGGAAUGAGUACACUCUAAAUCCUUUAACGAGGAUCCAUUGGAGGGCAAGUCUGGUGCCAGCCGCCGCGGUAACUCCAGCUCCAAUAGCGUAUAUUAAAGUUGUUGCGGUUAAAAAGCUCGUAGUUGGAUCUCAGUUCCAGACGGGUGGUCCGCCUACCGGUGGUUACUGCCUGUUCUGAACAGCCAGCCGGUUUCUCUUGAUGAUCUUCACCGGUUGUCUUGGGUGACCGGCAAGUUUACUUUGAAAAAAUUAGAGUGCUCAAAGCAGGCGCGACGCCUGAAUAAUGGUGCAUGGAAUAAUGGAAUAGGACCUCGGUUCUAUUUUGUUGGUUUUCGGAACACGAGGUAAUGAUUAAGAGGGACAGACGGGGGCAUUCGUAUUGCGACGCUAGAGGUGAAAUUCUUGGACCGUCGCAGGACGAACUACUGCGAAAGCAUUUGCCAAGAAUGUUUCCAUUAAUCAAGAACGAAAGUUAGAGGUUCGAAGGCGAUCAGAUACCGCCCUAGUUCUAACCAUAAACGAUGCCAGCUAGCGAUCCGGCUGUGUUCCUCAAAUGACACGCCGGGCAGCUUCCGGGAAACCAAAGCUUUUGGGUUCCGGGGGAAGUAUGGUUGCAAAGCUGAAACUUAAAGGAAUUGACGGAAGGGCACCACCAGAAAUGGAGCCUGCGGCUUAAUUUGACUCAACACGGGAAAACUCACCCGGCCCGGACACAGGAAGGAUUGACAGAUUAAGAGCUCUUUCUUGAUUCUGUGGGUGGUGGUGCAUGGCCGUUCUUAGUUGGUGGAGCGAUUUGUCUGGUUAAUUCCGAUAACGAACGAGACUCUAGCCUACUAAAUAGACGUUCCCAUCAAUCUCGU